UAAGGCUGAGACACGACGUCGAGCACCUACGGGUGUGAAGUCAUUGAUGCCAUGCUUCCAGGAAAAGCCUCUAAGCUUCAGAUUGUAAGGAAUCGUACCCCAAACCGACACAGGUGGUCGGGUAGAGAAUACCAAGGCGCUUGAGAGAACUCGGGUGAAGGAACUAGGCAAAAUGGUACCGUAACUUCGGGAGAAGGUACGCUCUUGAUGGUGAAGUCCCUCGCGGAUGGAGCUGACGAGAGUCGCAGAUACCAGGUGGCUGCAACUGUUUAUUAAAAACACAGCACUGUGCAAAAUCGUAAGAUGACGUAUACGGUGUGACGCCUGCCCGGUGCCGGAAGGUUAAUUGAUGGGGUUAGACUUCGGUCGAAGCUCUUGAUCGAAGCCCCGGUAAACGGCGGCCGUAACUAUAACGGUCCUAAGGUAGCGAAAUUCCUUGUCGGGUAAGUUCCGACCUGCACGAAUGGCGUAAUGAUGGCCACGCUGUCUCCACCCGAGACUCAGUGAAAUUGAAAUCGCUGUGAAGAUGCAGUGUACCCGCGGCUAGACGGAAAGACCCCGUGAACCUUUACUACAGCUUGGCACUGAACAUUGACCCUACAUGUGUAGGAUAGGUGGGAGGCUUUGAAGCACGUACGCCAGUAUGUGUGGAGCCGUCCUUGAAAUACCACCCUUGUAGUGUUGAUGUUCUAACGU
rnacentral:rRNA from 1 species